rnacentral:rRNA from 1 species
GAUGAACGCUGGCGGCGUGCCUAAUACAUGCAAGUCGAGCGAACAGACGAGGAGCUUGCUCCUCUGACGUUGGCGGCGGACGGGUGAGUAACACGUGGAUAACCUACCUAUAAGACUGGGAUAACUUCGGGAAACCGGAGCUAAUACCGGAUAAUAUAUUGAACCGCAUGGUUCAAUAGUGAAAGACGGUUUUGCUGUCACUUAUAGAUGGAUCCGCGCCGCAUUAGCUAGUUGGUAAGGUAACGGCUUACCAAGGCAACGAUGCGUAGCCGACCUGAGAGGGUGAUCGGCCACACUGGAACUUAGACACGGUCCAGACUCCUACGGGAGGCAGCAGUAGGGAAUCUUCCGCAAUGGGCGAAAGCCUGACGGAGCAACGCCGCGUGAGUGAUGAAGGUCUUCGGAUCGUAAAACUCUGUUAUUAGGGAAGAACAAAUGUGUAAGUAACUAUGCACGUCUUGACGGUACCUAAUCAGAAAGCCACGGCUAACUACGUG